rnacentral:rRNA from 1 species
CUUGAGAAGCUUGCUGGAGGUAUCAGAAGUGCGAAUGCUGACAUGAGUAACGACAAUGGGUGUGAAAAACACCCACGCCGAAAGACCAAGGGUUCCUGCGCAACGUUAAUCGACGCAGGGUUAGUCGGUUCCUAAGGCGAGGCUGAAAAGCGUAGUCGAUGGGAAACAGGUUAAUAUUCCUGUACUUCUGGUUACUGCGAUGGAAGGACGGAGAAGGCUAGGCCAGCUUGGCGUUGGUUGUCCAAGUUUAAGGUGGUAGGCUGAACUCUUAGGUAAAUCCGGGGUUUCAAGGCCGAGAGCUGAUGACGAGUCGUCUUUUAGAUGACGAAGUGGUUGAUGCCAUGCUUCCAAGAAAAGCUUCUAAGCUUCAGGUAACCAGGAACCGUACCCCAAACCGACACAGGUGGUCGGGUAGAGAAUACCAAGGCGCUUGAGAGAACUCGGGUGAAGGAACUAGGCAAAAUGGCACCGUAACUUCGGGAGAAGGUGCGCCGGCUAGGGUGAAGGAUUUACUCCGUAAGCUCUGGCUGGUCGAAGAUACCAGGCCGCUGCGACUGUUUAUUAAAAACACAGCACUCUGCGAACACGAAAGUGGACGUAUAGGGUGUGACGCCUGCCCGGUGCCGGAAGGUUAAUUGAUGGGGUUAGCGCAAGCGAAGCUCUUGAUCGAAGCCCCGGUAAACGGCGGCCGUAACAAUAACGGUCCUAAGGUAGCGAAAUUCCUUGUCGGGUAAGUUCCGACCUGCACGAAUGGCGUAACGAUGGCGGCGCUGUCUCCACCCGAGACUCAGUGAAAUUGAAAUCGCUGUGAAGAUGCAGUGUAUCCGCGGCUAGACGGAAAGACCCCGUGAACCUUUACUGUAGCUUUGCACUGGACUUUGAGCCUGCUUGUGUAGGAUAGGUGGGAGGCUUUGAAGCGUGGACGCCAGUUCGCGUGGAGCCAUCCUUGAAAUACCACCCUGGCAUGCUUGAGGUUCUAACUCUGGUCCGUAAUCCGGAUCGAGGACAGUGUAUGGUGGGCAGUUUGACUGGGGCGGUCUCCUCCUAAAGAGUAACGGAGGAGUACGAGGGUGCGCUCAGACCGGUCGGAAAUCGGUCGCAGAGUAUAAAGGCAAAAGCGCGCUUGACUGCGAGACAGACACGUCGAGCAGGUACGAAAGUAGGUCUUAGUGAUCCGGUGGUUCUGUAUGGAAGGGCCAUCGCUCAACGGAUAAAGGUACUCCGGGGAUAACAGGCUGAUACCGCCCAAGAGUUCAUAUCGACGGCGGUGUUUGGCACCUCGAUGUCGGCUCAUCACAUCCUGGGGCUGAAGCCGGUCCCAAGAGUAUGGCUGUUCGCCAUUUAAAGUGGUACGCGAGCUGGGUUUAGAACGUCGUGAGACAGCUCGGUCCCUAUCUGCCGUGGACGUUUGAGAUUUGAGAGGGGCUGCUCCUAGUACGAGAGGACCGGAGUGGACGAACCUCUGGUGUUCCGGUUGUCACGCCAGUGGCAUUGCCGGGUAGCUAUGUUCGGAAAAGAUAACCGCUGAAAGCAUCUAAGCGGGAAACUUGCCUCAAGAUGAGAUCUCACUGGGAACUUGAUUCCCCUGAAGGGCCGUCGAAGACUACGACGUUGAUAGGCUGGGUGUGUAAGCGUUGUGAGGCGUUGAGCUAACCAGUACUAAUUGCCCGUGAGGCUUGACC